CAGCAGCCGCGGUAAUACGGAGGGGGCUAGCGUUGUUCGGAAUUACUGGGCGUAAAGCGCACGUAGGCGGCUUUGUAAGUUAGAGGUGAAAGCCUGGGGCUCAACCCCAGAAUUGCCUUUAAGACUGCAGAGCUAGUAUGUGAGAGAGGUGAGUGGAAUUCCGAGUGUAGAGGUGAAAUUCGUAGAUAUUCGGAAGAACACCAGUGGCGAAGGAGGCUCACUGGCUCAUUCUAGACGCUGAGGUGCGAAAGCGUGGGGGGCAAACAGGAUUAGAUACCCCUGUAGUCCCUGUCUCUUAUAA
rnacentral:rRNA from 1 species